GGAGUACGUGGUUUAAUUCGAUGCAACGCGAAGAACCUUACCUGGUCUUGACAUCCCGGAGACCCUUAGGAAACUAGGGGGUGCUUCCAUCUGGAAGAAUCUGGAGACAGGUGCUGCAUGGCUGUCGCCAGCUCGUGUCGUGAGAUGUUGGGUUAAGUCCCGCAACGAGCGCAACCCUUGCCUUUAGUUGCCAGCAGUUCGGCUGGGCACUCUAAAGGGACUGCCGGUGUUAAACCGGAGGAAGGUGGGGAUGACGUCAAGUCCUCAUGGCCUUUAUGACCAGGGCUACACACGUACUACAAUGGCCGAUACAAAGGGCAGCGACACUGCGAGGUGAAGCCAAUCCCGUAAAAUCGGUCUCAGUCCGGAUUGGAGUCUGCAACUCGACUCCAUGAAGUUGGAAUCGCUAGUAAUCGUGGAUCAGCAUGCCACGGUGAAUACGUUCCCGGGCCUU
rnacentral:rRNA from 1 species